rnacentral:tmRNA from 1 species
GGGGCUGACUGGUUUUGACAGCGUGUCGAGGUGGUGUGUAAGCGUGCAGAGUGAUGAUGCCUACACUCUUUAAUCAGAGACAUCAAAUAAUUUUAAAUGGCGAAAACAACUACGCUCUCGCUGCUUGAUUGAAGCACAGUAGAUCAGCCUAAUGUCUCCAACAGUUGGAGACACGAGACAUCGCCCGAUUGUCCUUUUUCCGAGACUAAUCGAUCCGGCGGUGCAGGAAUAUCGGAAAUAUAUUGAACCAAGCCUCGUGGUUUGAUUGAAACAUAGAGGAUAAGGUAUUGAUUGGUCGUCCCGGCCUGUCAACACUCGAAAAUCAAACGGAGACUACGCACGUAGAAAGCACAUUAGUUCCGCGUUUGGACGAGGGUUCAAGUCCCUCCAGCUCCACUA